rnacentral:rRNA from 1 species
UACGAAGGGUGCAAACGUUGCUCGGAAUCAUUGGGCGUAAAGCGCACGUAGGCGGCCUUGUAAGUCGGAUGUGAAAUCCCACGGCUCAACCGUGGAAGUGCACUCGAAACUGACGGUCUUGAGUAUGGAAGAGGGUCGCGGAAUUCCCGGUGUAGAGGUGAAAUUCGUAGAUAUCGGGAGGAACACCAGUGGCGAAGGCGGCGACCUGGGCCAAUACUGACGCUGAGACGCGAAAGCGUGGGGAGCAAACAGG